rnacentral:sRNA from 1 species
GGGCCAUAAGCUCAAAAAUUACACAGUAAAAGCAAAUUAAAGAAAGAAAAAAACAAGAUGAUCAGAUAAAUUCAUAUAUGUUAGUGUCAACAAAGGAAAGCUUACCACGACUGAGGCAGAGGAAGAGAUGGUAUGUCACCACGACAUGCUUACGACGAGGCCAUGUACUCUCGCUUGCUUCCAAUAUAUUAAUAACAUCGCGAAGGAGCUCGGGGGAAGGCUAGCCACAGCUUACUACAGCCUGUUAGAGAGUAGAUCUAGGAGGGGAUGGAGCCACGAGAUUAGAUUGCGUUAAAGAUGAACCCACGAGAUUAGAUUGCGUUAGAGAUUGAGUUGGAAUUCGUCGGGGAAAUUGAGGUUGUUGGAAUUCGUCGGGGAAAUUGAGGUUGUUGGUGGGGGUGUUGGGGUUGGUGGCGGUGGUGGUGUCGGUGUGGGGUUUGUUGGGGCCUUUUUCCAUGGAAUCCAUGGAUUUGAAGUGAACCCAGGAGGAGGGUGAAGCGGUGGUGGAGUUGUUGAUGAGGCGAGGGAGAGGGAGGGAGCGGAGGCAUUGGAUUUCGGUGCGGUACCGUUUGCGGAGUUUUUCCAUUUUGUGGCGGCACUGGACGGCGGUUUUGGCAGUGGCGGAAGCGUUGGGGCACUGGGCAGUGACGGCAUCGGCGACCUCUUGCCAGUGGGUGGCUUUGAGGUUUGUGCGGCCGAGGGAGUACCACUUGUCACGGUAGGCGUCGAUGAGGGCAGAGGUUUCCUCCGGGGUCCAGCAUGACGGGGUGAGACGGUGGGAGAAGGUGGAGGGAGGGGUGGCGAGAGUGAGG